rnacentral:lncRNA from 1 species
UCCUCUUCUUGCCCCUCAUUACUUGGCCUCCCAUAACUAGGCCUCCUCGGUGGCUCCUCCACCUCCGGACUCUCGUAGCUCGGCCUCCCAUACUGUGGCUUCCUGGGGGACCCUUCCCCACCAUAACCAUACCCGCCACCUUGUUCCUCUCCGAAGCUAGGUUUCCGACCGUACCCAGAUCCAUAUUCAGAACUCGGUGCUUCGUACUCAGGCCUCCGACCAUACCCAGAUCCAUACUCCGAACUGGGCUGCUCGAACUCGGGCCUCCGACCAUACCCAGAUCCAUACUCCGAACUAGGUUGCUCGUAUUCAGGCUUCCGACCGUACCCAGAUCCAUAUUCCGUGCUAGGCUGUUCGUAUUCAGGCUUCCGACCGUACCCAGAUCCAUAUUCCGAGCUAGGCUGUUCGUAUUCAGGCUUCCGACCGUACCCAGAUCCAUAUUCCGAGCUAGGCUGUUCGUAUUCAGGCUUCCGACCGUAGCCAGAUCCAUAUUCCGAGCUAGGCUGUUCGCAUUCAGGCUUCCGACCGUACCCGGAUCCGUACUCCGAACUGGGUUCCUCGUAAUCAGGCUUCCGCCCAUGCCCAGAUCCAUACUCACCCUCCCCACCAAAACUCGACGGCGGCUUCGGCUGAUACCCAUACUCACCACCAUCACCACUGCCUCCGAACCCUCCUUGGCCAGGAGGUGGUCCGGCGUAACCAAGGACCGGACGAGGCUUGGGACGAGCAUAGCUCUUGUAUUCAUUCUCAAGAGCUUCAUCACC